AUGGCUAAAAUGGUAAAUUUUAUGUUUUAUGUAUAUAUAUAUAUACACACACACCCAUGUCUAUAUGUGUGUGCGUAUAUAUAUAUAUAUAUUUUUUUUUUUUUUGGCAGGAGGAUGGAGUCUUGCUCUGUUGGCAGGCUGGAGUGCAGUGGCACAAUCUUGGCUCACUGCCACCUCUGCCUCCUGGGUUCAAGCGAUUCUCUGAUUUCAGCCUCCCGAGUAACUGGGACCACAGGCGUGUGCCACCACACCCAGCCUUACAGUCCCCUAAAAGACCAUGAAACCCUGCGAGUAAUGAAAAGAUUCCUGAAAUUGAGGUCACUGUGGAAGGGUCUUGCUCCGUUGUCCAGGCCAGUGGGGCUAUCCCAGCUGAUUGCAGCCGUGACCUCCCCAGUUCAAGCUGUCCUCCCAGCUCAGCUUCCAAAAUGGACGAGACUGUAGGUGCUUGCCACUAUACCCAACCAGUACUUGGACUUUUCCUAUAUGUGGGUUCCAGAGGGCUGACUGCAAAACGUGAGUAUGCAUGAAUUUGGGUAUAUGCAGAGAUGAGGGGCUGAAACUAAUCUCUGAAUACUGAGGGAUGGACUGUAUAUGUUUUACAGUCAUGCUGUAGGACUCAUAUUGUUCCAUAGCCUUGAAAGUGAUAGUUUUAAUGCCAAAUAAUUUUUAAUUGAGUGGAAUAAUAAUAAUAAAAGCAGCUGGCCAGGUGUGGUGGAUCA
rnacentral:lncRNA from 13 species